rnacentral:rRNA from 1 species
UACAGAGGUGGCAAGCGUUGUUCGGAAUUACUGGGCGUAAAGGGCGCGUAGGCGGCCUUCUAAGUCAGACGUGAAAUCCCCCGGCUUAACCUGGGAACCGCGUCUGAUACUGGGAGGCUUGAGUAUGGGAGAGGGAUGUAGAAUUCCAGGUGUAGCGGUGAAAUGCGUAGAUAUCUGGAGGAAUACCGGUGGCGAAGGCGGCAUCCUGGACCAUUACUGACGCUGAGGCGCGAAAGCUAGGGGAGCAAACGGG